rnacentral:lncRNA from 1 species
UCCUACGAUACUGUGCUUUUGCAAAGGAUGUGUGGUUAGCUUUACAUUAUGUUAGCUCAGGAAAUAAUGAACAAAUCAACUUUCAUGAAUGGCUAUCAUGGAUGUUUGAAAAUCAUUCUGUGAAUAAAAGAACUGAGAUUGCAGUUGUGUUGAAGGCUAUCCGGUAUGCUAGAAAUAAGCUGCUACAUAAGGGUACAAACCAGAGGGUAGAGGAUUUGGUUGCUUUUGUCCAAGGCUACUAUGCGGAGAUUAAAGCGCUGGCUAAAAGUAUAUAUCAGUCGCCUCCACCUCAAAUUGUUCGCUAAUCCCUUCUGUCGACAUCUCUUGUCAAGAUAAAAGUUGAUGCCAGCUUUUCCCUUACAUAGAGAAAGCCAUGUUCAAGAGUAAUCAUUAGGGACGAACAUGGACAAAUUAUGGCGUUUAUAGUCGCCUUACCUUACAGUUGCCUACAGCUUUUGCGGGAGAAGCUCUAGCAGCAAUUCAUGGGCUAAGGUUCGCUCUUGAGAUGGGUUUCUUGUUCGUCAUCCUGGAAAGUGAUUCCAAGUUGGUCAUCCAAAAGUUAAUCACAAGUUCAAAAGAUUUAUCAGAAAUUAGUGCACUUAUCUAGGAGGCAAAGGAGCUUUCAAAGCUAUUUGUGGACUGUCAAUUCAACUUCAUAGCAAGAUUGGGGAACCAGGCUGCACAUGCAAAGGCUCAAGAUGGUAUGACAAGAAUGGAAGACUGUUUUUGGGUGGAGGAGACGCCAGUGUUGGUCACCACUGCUGUCGAUGAGGAGAGAAGAUUGCUUGACCAACCUUAGUCUGGGCCUCGAGAAGCUUGAUUUGGGAGAUUUAUCAAUAUCCUUGAUUCCCCAACUUCUCCCCUCAAGUGUUUUGCUCACCGUCUAUUCACUGCUUCACUUGAUGGCUUAGCACUGGUUAAGGUCCCUUCAUAAGAGAGACCUCCCUUUGUUUGUUGAUUUGUUUUCAAAUUUUAUUUUGGGUUCUGUUUGUCUGUGUCUUUUUGUUUUCUUCUAUUAAAUAAGGUAACCAACUUUUCUCUAAAAAAAUAUAUAAUUUAUGAGUAUUUUAUAUUUUUUUGUAUUGUGAAAUUUACAUAUGGUGAGAUUUCAA